rnacentral:rRNA from 1 species
ACGUACACUCCUACGGGAGGCAGCAGUGGGGAAUAUCGCACAAUGGGCGCAAGCCUGAUGCAGCCAUGCCGCGUGUAUGAAGAAGGCCUUCGGGUUGUAAAGUACUUUCAGCGGGGAGGAAGGCGAUAAGGUUAAUAACCUUGUCGAUUGACGUUACCCGCAGAAGAAGCACCGGCUAACUCCGUGCCAGCAGCCGCGGUAAUACGGAGGGUGCAAGCGUUAAUCGGAAUUACUGGGCGUAAAGCGCACGCAGGCGGUCUGUCAAGUCGGAUGUGAAAUCCCCGGGCUCAACCUGGGAACUGCAUUCGAAACUGGCAGGCUAGAGUCUUGUAGAGGGGGGUAGAAUUCCAGGUGUAGCGGUGAAAUGCGUAGAGAUCUGGAGGAAUACCGGUGGCGAAGGCGGCCCCCUGGACAAAGACUGACGCUCAGGUGCGAAAGCGUGGGGAGCAAACAGGAUUAGAAACCCGAGUAGUCCCAUGA